GUUCAUUCCGAUACCAUUAGUAUUGUGGAAGAGGAGGGACCUACCCCAAUGGAGUAAUUGCCCUAGUAUUCUGAUGAUUGUGGGAAGCCGUAUAGUUUCUUUAGCCGCUUGAGCAUGAGCACCUUGAUCUGCACGCAGUUCUUUAACGCCGAUGGAUGAAAUUGCAUAUGGCAGUCAUAUUUCUUUAUCAGUGCUCGUUGAAGUUAAAUCAAUGUAUGGUGAGUGCGUGGUGGUGUCAAACAAAGUUUGUUUAGAAUGAUUGAUGAGCAGUGCCGGAACAUUGGGUUCUUUUAAGAGUUCUAAGUCACCAAGCAGGGGAGAUUUUGCCUUG
rnacentral:misc_RNA from 1 species